UAUUAAACCAAAGCAGCAUCUCACAGCGACGGACGAGCUUUACUCACCAAAAGAGUCAAUCAGGAAACAACCAUGGUGUGACUGAUAAUAAAGGCUAGCAUCUACGUGGUCCGGAGGAUCCGGGCUUCCAUUGCUGCUGGAGAGCAACUGGAGAAGCCCAUCAUCACACCAUGUAGUGCUAUUGCUGAAAUGAGAGCGGGGCAGGGUUCGAGUGGGAACGCCCAAGCGGCUGCACUGAUCCCAGGACCUGAAGAAGGUGUCAGCAGAGUGAAGGACUCGGGGACGUCCUCAGAGACGGCUCUGCAGAAAUCUGGCUCCUGACGUUAAAGACCACUCUGGACAUUGGGACAGUGGUCACUACAAUAGAAAAAUUAAAUUUGUCAUCUUUUUUAUUUUUGCUUUAUGGGACAAUAACACAUUAUCCCGGAUCAUUACAAGUACAUGCAGAAUCAUUUAGAUGCAAUGGUAACUAUUCAUUUCAUCUGUAAGACCAUUAUUUUACCCUUUUCCAGUGUCCAUGCUGUUCUCGGUGGCCAAUGUCCAGCUCUUAAUGACACACAUUCAUGUCUUUUUCACAGCUGACAUUUUGACUUACCAUAGGAAAUAAACUAGAACCUUUGCUGGUGAGCUUCACACAAUACUCCAGGCACCUAGAUGUUAUGGAGACUUUAAUGUUAUUACAUUUAUGUGGUUAGUCAACAUGUUCUCUGUGACCAAGUCCUGUAUUUAUGUACUGCAGUGUUUGAAGGCCGACUCACAAACCUCUCUCAAGGGGCCGAGCACGCCUGAUGUUUCUGCUGCUGUUUCAAUAAAUACAUAAUAAAAGAAA